ACAUCGGUGGUUCAGUGGUAGAAUUCACACCUUUCAUGUGGGAGACCUGGGUUUGAUUCCUGCCAGUGUA
rnacentral:tRNA from 1 species